AGGCCUAACACAUGCAAGUCGAGCGGAUGACGGGAGCUUGCUCCUUGAUUCAGCGGCGGACGGGUGAGUAAUGCCUAGGAAUCUGCCUGGUAGUGGGGGACAACGUUUCGAAAGGAACGCUAAUACCGCAUACGUCCUACGGGAGAAAGCAGGGGACCUUCGGGCCUUGCGCUAUCAGAUGAGCCUAGGUCGGAUUAGCUAGUUGGUGGGGUAAUGGCUCACCAAGGCGACGAUCCGUAACUGGUCUGAGAGGAUGAUCAGUCACACUGGAACUGAGACACGGUCCAGACUCCUACGGGAGGCAGCAGUGGGGAAUAUUGGACAAUGGGCGAAAGCCUGAUCCAGCCAUGCCGCGUGUGUGAAGAAGGUCUUCGGAUUGUAAAGCACUUUAAGUUGGGAGGAAGGGCAGUAAGCUAAUACCUUGCUGUUUUGACGUUACCGACAGAAUAAGCACCGGCUAACUCUGUGCCAGCAGCCGCGGUAAUACAGAGGGUGCAAGCGUUAAUCGGAAUUACUGGGCGUAAAGCGCGCGUAGGUGGUUUGUUAAGUUGGAUGUGAAAAGCCCCGGGCUCACCUGGGAAACUGCAUCCAAAAACUGGC
rnacentral:rRNA from 1 species